CCUACGGGGGACAGCAGUGGGGAAUAUUGCACAAUGGGGGAAACCCUGAUGCAGCGACGCCGCGUGAGUGAAGAAGUAUUUCGGUAUGUAAAGCUCUAUCAGCAGGGAAGAAAAUGACGGUACCUGAUUAAGAAGCCCCGGCUAACUACGUGCCAGCAGCCGCGGUAAUACGUAGGGGGCAAGCGUUAUCCGGAUUUACUGGGUGUAAAGGGAGCGUAGGCGGCAGCACAAGUCUGGAGUGAAAUGCCGGGGCUUAACCCCGGAACUGCUGUGGAAACUGUGCAGCUAGAGUGCAGGAGAGGUAAGUGGAAUUCCUGGUGUAGCGGUGAAAUGCGUAGAUAUUAGGAGGAACA
rnacentral:rRNA from 1 species